rnacentral:rRNA from 1 species
AAUCAACGCUGGCGGCGUGCCUAACACAUGCAAGUCGAACGCGAAAGGGGCUUCGGCCCUGAGUAGAGUGGCGAACGGGUGAGUAACACGUGGGUGAUCUACCUUCGAGUGGGGGAUAACGUCCCGAAAGGGACGCUAAUACCGCAUGAUGUUCCGGGUUUGAAAACCUGGAAACCAAAGCCGGGGACCGCAAGGCCUGGCGCUUAAAGAGGACCCCGCGUCCGAUUAGCUAGUUGGCGGGGUAAUGGCCCACCAAGGCGACGAUCGGUAGCCGGCCUGAGAGGGCGGACGGCCACACUGGAACUGAGACACGGUCCAGACUCCUACGGGAGGCAGCAGUGGGGAAUUGUUCACAAUGGGCGCAAGCCUGAUGACGCAACGCCGCGUGGGGGAUGAAGGUCUUCGGAUUGUAAACCCCUGUCGAAUGGGACGAAAGACCCGGGAGCUAAUCAUCCUGGGAGUGACGGUACCGUUAAAGGAAGCCACGGCUAACUCUGUGCCAGCAGCCGCGGUAAUACAGAGGUGGCAAGCGUUGUUCGGAAUUACUGGGCGUAAAGGGCGCGUAGGCGGCCAUCUAAGUCAGACGUGAAAUCCCCCGGCUUAACCUGGGAA